CGUUGACAGGGGAACAAAACAGUGUCUUCUGGGCUAGACAGUGACACUGCACAACGUUGUAGGCAGCUUUGACUCCCCACACAAGAUCAGGACAGCCAGCAUUCUAGCAUGAAGUUCAUAGAGUGGCAGAGAGUGUGAGAUUCCAUCCGUAACUGACGAGACACAGACAGUUGAUGUUUGCAGGGGAAAGAAUGGCGUUUCUUUCUGCCCUCCGCCCCUCGGUCGCUGGAGCUAAUACUCAGAGAUUACUUCGGAUUUAUGAGCAACAUCGACAUUAUGACGUAGAGAGAGGCAGACAAACUGUCGGAGAACUCCAGCCACAACGGAGGAAACAGAGAACCAUGUAGGCGAGCCUGUAGCUGAAUGUCAAAGGUUUGGUUAGACUCAUAGCUGUGUGAUUCAGAAGCAACAUGUUCCAAAGCAAGUGGCUUAUCUUGUCUGUCCCAGGUACUUCUCUCUCAAGUAAAGAAAAAAAUGGGUCACAC
ensembl:lncRNA LOC120098903 uncharacterized LOC120098903